GAUGCUUUUUGUCAUGCUGAAGUAUCAGCAGGAAAGGGUUGUCAGAUUCCACAUGACUGAAAUCAUCUGGCAUUUUGUCUUUGAGUGACUUACUUCAAGGGCUGAAUUUAUUUGAUUCUGCCAGUCAGGGUUCUGAGAAGGCCAGAGAAACCCUGCUGUCCCAGGAAGGAGAGACAGAUCAUAUCUGAUGACAGCCUCCAAGCAAGAGGUCCUGGAAUCACUAAUGAGCAUGAAGAAGCUCUGCUGGAUCAGGCCCACUGAGCAAAGAGAGAG